UACGAAGGGGGCGAGCGUUGUUCGGAAUUACUGGGCGUAAAGGGCGCGUAGGCGGCGACCCAAGUCAGAUGUGAAAGUCCUGGGCUUAACCUGGGGACUGCAUUUGAUACUGGGUUGCUUGAAUUCGGGAGAGGAUAGCGGAAUUCCCAGUGUAGAGGUGAAAUGCGCAGAUAUCGGGAGGAACACCUAUGGCGAAGGCAGCUCGCUGGGACGUUACUGACGCUGAGACGCGAAAGCGUGGGGAGCAAACAGG
rnacentral:rRNA from 1 species